GGACAAGAAACUAAACAGGAUCCCCAUAGUAAUGGCGAAUGAACCGGGAUAAACUCAGCAUGGAAAUUGGGGCCUUUGGCUUUGACUUGUAAUCUGGUGAGGCAUUGCCAACAGAGGCGCAUAUGUAAGUCUCUUGGAAAAGAGCAUCAACGAAGGUGAGAGUCCUGAUUGUCAUGUGCAGCCCCCCUGUGCACGGUGUGCCUUCUAAGAGUCACGUUCCUUGGGAUUGGAGCGCAAAUUGGGUGGUAACUUUCAUCUGAAGUUAAACAAUGGUUUGGGACCGAUAGGAAACAAGUACCAUGAGGGAAAGGUGAAAAGGACUUUGGAAAGAGAGUUAAAAGUGCCUGAAAUUGCUGAAGGGGAAGCGAAUGGAACCAGUGGUGCUGGGUGAGAUUGUCACAUGCUGCAAGGAUUGGUUGCUGCCACAACGCAAGUGUGCUGGCAAUUUGUGAACUGCUAGUGUGUGGUGUGUCUUACCUAGUGGGUCAUUGUGGGUUUAUGCAUUAGGAUAAAUCAAAGCAAGCGGGAGCAAGUUUACGAGUUUGUGAAUGUGUGUUGUUAUGCUUGUGCGUAAGCUUUAGUGUUUGUCUGGCUGCAGGGCUGUCCAUCCUCAAGCUUUGCUGUGGUUGCGAUGAGCAUAACCUUCCGCACAGAUCUUGACGAAAUGGUUUCAUUCGACCCGUCUUGAAACACGGACCAAGGAAGGGC
rnacentral:rRNA from 1 species